UCGGAACGUACCCAGAAGUGGGGGAUAACGUAUCGAAAGUUACGCUAAUACCGCAUACGAUCUACGGAUGAUAGUGGGGGACCUUCGGGCCUCAUGCUUUUGGAGCGGCCGAUGUCUGAUUAGCUAGUUGGUAGGGUAAAGGCCUACAAGGCGACGAUCAGUAGCUGGUCUGAGAGGACGACCAGCCACACUGGGACUGAGACACGGCCCAGACUCUA
rnacentral:rRNA from 1 species